rnacentral:sRNA from 1 species
AACACAGCAUGUUUUUUUGUUUUGAAAUUUAAGUUUAGAUGGAUCAUAGUUAAAAUUUGACAGCUUAAUAUAUUUAAUGCUCAGUAAAAAAGAAUUUGAAUCAUAAGAUUGCUCAAGUUCAGCCUAACUAGCAUUUUAAUAGUAUCAAUUUUCUUGUAUUCGAUCCUCUCUUCCCAUCUGCUUAGGCUCUAUAUUGUAGUUCAUGUGAUGUUGAAGAUGAAUCUUGUAGCCAUAGAAUUUGCAAUGGUUCUAUAUGUAUAUUAACAAUCAUGAUAUUAUUACCUAUAUAAUUGCCAUUUUAUGGAGAAGUUUAUAUAUGACUUCUUCAACAAACUAAAUCAUUAUACUGGUUAGAAUUUUGUUUUAGAUGAACACCUGCUCAUUCCAAUCCAUGUGUUGUUGAUACUUUGGACAUUAAAUUGCUAUAUAUUGACACAUAAUUAUAUAAUUAUUUAUCAAAUACAUGUUAUGAAGUAAUGGCUGGAAUAGGCCAAUCAUAUUUUGUUAUGUAUUACAUUGUGGAAUAAAUCUUUAUGAAUUGUUGAC